GGUACCAUGGCCGAGGGGUUAGGCAGCGGUCUGCAAAACCGCGUACAGCAGUUCGAAUCUGCUUGGUACCUCCA
rnacentral:tRNA from 1 species